UUAAGCGACUAAGCGUACACGGUGGAUGCCCUGGCAGUCAGAGGCGAUGAAGGACGUGCUAAUCUGCGAUAAGCGUCGGUAAGGUGAUAUGAACCGUUAUAACCGGCGAUUUCCGAAUGGGGAAACCCAGUGUGAUUCGUCACACUAUCAUUAACUGAAUCCAUAGGUUAAUGAGGCGAACCGGGGGAACUGAAACAUCUAAGUACCCCGAGGAAAAGAAAUCAACCGAGAUUCCCCCAGUAGCGGCGAGCGAACGGGGAGCAGCCCAGAGCCUGAAUCAGUGUGUGUGUUAGUGGAAGCGUCUGGAAAGGCGUGCGAUACAGGGUGACAGCCCCGUACACAAAAAUGCACAUGCUGUGAGCUCGAUGAGUAGGGCGGGACACGUGGUAUCCUGUCUGAAUAUGGGGGGACCAUCCUCCAAGGCUAAAUACUCCUGACUGACCGAUAGUGAACCAGUACCGUGAGGGAAAGGCGAAAAGAACCCCGGCGAGGGGAGUGAAAAAGAACCUGAAACCGUGUACGUACAAGCAGUGGGAGCACGCUUAGGCGUGUGACUGCGUACCUUUUGUAUAAUGGGUCAGCGACUUAUAUUCUGUAGCAAGGUUAACCGAAUAGGGGAGCCGAAGGGAAACCAAGUCUUAACUGGGCGUUAAGUUGCAGGGUAUAGACCCGAAACCCGGUGAUCUAGCCAUGGGCAGGUUGAAGGUUGGGUAACACUAACUGGAGGACCGAACCGACUAAUGUUGAAAAAUUAGCGGAUGACUUGUGGCUGGGGGUGAAAGGCCAAUCAAACCGGGAGAUAGCUGGUUCUCCCCGAAAGCUAUUUAGGUAGCGCCUCGUGAAUUCAUCUCCGGGGGUAGAGCACUGUUUCGGCAAGGGGGUCAUCCCGACUUACCAACCCGAUGCAAACUGCGAAUACCGGAGAAUGUUAUCACGGGAGACACACGGCGGGUGCUAACGUCCGUCGUGAAGAGGGAAACAACCCAGACCGCCAGCUAAGGUCCCAAAGUCAUGGUUAAGUGGGAAACGAUGUGGGAAGGCCCAGACAGCCAGGAUGUUGGCUUAGAAGCAGCCAUCAUUUAAAGAAAGCGUAAUAGCUCACUGGUCGAGUCGGCCUGCGCGGAAGAUGUAACGGGGCUAAACCAUGCACCGAAGCUGCGGCAGCGACGCUGAUGCGUUGUUGGGUAGGGGAGCGUUCUGUAAGCCUGCGAAGGUGUGCUGUGAGGCAUGCUGGAGGUAUCAGAAGUGCGAAUGCUGACAUAAGUAACGAUAAAGCGGGUGAAAAGCCCGCUCGCCGGAAGACCAAGGGUUCCUGUCCAACGUUAAUCGGGGCAGGGUGAGUCGACCCCUAAGGCGAGGCCGAAAAGCGUAGUCGAUGGGAAACAGGUUAAUAUUCCUGUACUUGGUGUUACUGCGAAGGGGGGACGGAGAAGGCUAUGUUGGCCGGGCGACGGUUGUCCCGGUUUAAGCGUGUAGGCUGGUUUUCCAGGCAAAUCCGGAAAAUCAAGGCUGAGGCGUGAUGACGAGGCACUACGGUGCUGAAGCAACAAAUGCCCUGCUUCCAGGAAAAGCCUCUAAGCAUCAGGUAACAUCAAAUCGUACCCCAAACCGACACAGGUGGUCAGGUAGAGAAUACCAAGGCGCUUGAGAGAACUCGGGUGAAGGAACUAGGCAAAAUGGUGCCGUAACUUCGGGAGAAGGCACGCUGAUAUGUAGGUGAAGCGACUUGCUCGUGGAGCUGAAAUCAGUCGAAGAUACCAGCUGGCUGCAACUGUUUAUUAAAAACACAGCACUGUGCAAACACGAAAGUGGACGUAUACGGUGUGACGCCUGCCCGGUGCCGGAAGGUUAAUUGAUGGGGUCAGCGCAAGCGAAGCUCUUGAUCGAAGCCCCGGUAAACGGCGGCCGUAACUAUAACGGUCCUAAGGUAGCGAAAUUCCUUGUCGGGUAAGUUCCGACCUGCACGAAUGGCGUAAUGAUGGCCAGGCUGUCUCCACCCGAGACUCAGUGAAAUUGAACUCGCUGUGAAGAUGCAGUGUACCCGCGGCAAGACGGAAAGACCCCGUGAACCUUUACUAUAGCUUGACACUGAACAUUGAGCCUUGAUGUGUAGGAUAGGUGGGAGGCUUUGAAGUGUGGACGCCAGUCUGCAUGGAGCCGACCUUGAAAUACCACCCUUUAAUGUUUGAUGUUCUAACGUGGACCCGUGAUCCGGGUUGCGGACAGUGUCUGGUGGGUAGUUUGACUGGGGCGGUCUCCUCCUAAAGAGUAACGGAGGAGCACGAAGGUUGGCUAAUCCUGGUCGGACAUCAGGAGGUUAGUGCAAUGGCAUAAGCCAGCUUGACUGCGAGCGUGACGGCGCGAGCAGGUGCGAAAGCAGGUCAUAGUGAUCCGGUGGUUCUGAAUGGAAGGGCCAUCGCUCAACGGAUAAAAGGUACUCCGGGGAUAACAGGCUGAUACCGCCCAAGAGUUCAUAUCGACGGCGGUGUUUGGCACCUCGAUGUCGGCUCAUCACAUCCUGGGGCUGAAGUAGGUCCCAAGGGUAUGGCUGUUCGCCAUUUAAAGUGGUACGCGAGCUGGGUUUAGAACGUCGUGAGACAGUUCGGUCCCUAUCUGCCGUGGGCGCUGGAGAACUGAGGGGGGCUGCUCCUAGUACGAGAGGACCGGAGUGGACGCAUCACUGGUGUUCGGGUUGUCAUGCCAAUGGCACUGCCCGGUAGCUAAAUGCGGAAGAGAUAAGUGCUGAAAGCAUCUAAGCACGAAACUUGCCCCGAGAUGAGUUCUCCCUGACUCCUUGAGAGUCCUGAAGGAACGUUGAAGACGACGACGUUGAUAGGCCGGGUGUGUAAGCGCAGCGAUGCGUUGAGCUAACCGGUACUAAUGAACCGUGAGGCUUAACCUU
rnacentral:rRNA from 1 species